rnacentral:rRNA from 1 species
UACAGAGGUCCCAAGCGUUGUUCGGAUUCACUGGGCGUAAAGGGUGCGUAGGUGGCGGGGUAAGUUUGAUGUGAAAUCUCCGAGCUCAACUCGGAAACUGCAUUGAAUACUAUCCUGCUAGAGGGUUGGAGGGGGGACUGGAAUUCUCGGUGUAGCAGUGAAAUGCGUAGAUAUCAGGAGGAACACCCAUGGCGAAGGCAGUAAACUGGUCGACAUCUGACGCUGAGGCGCGAAAGUGUGGGUAGCAAACAGG